rnacentral:piRNA from 1 species
GGCCGGUUAGCUCAGUAGGUUAGAGCUUGGU